GACGGUGCCGAUGCCUCCGCCGCCGCAGGAGGAGCCUGGGCGGGAGCACCGGUCCCUCCCCUCAUGAGGAGAGCAAGGCCGCAGGCCCCGGGGGUUGCCCGCCUUCCUCCAGGAUAUAGAUAUUGAGAAUGAGGAGAAGACAGGGCAUUACCUACUAGGAUGAAGAGGCUAUGCAAACAAACAUGGACUAAUCCAGUGCCAUGCAGCUAUAAUGGAAGGAAGGACAUCCUGGUUGCUCUGGAGCAGUAGCAGCUGUACCUGGGAAUACUUAGAAAAGAAAAAAAAGCUCCAGAGAACAUGACACCUGAGGUAACAGUAAUUUAUGUGUAUUAUUUAACUAGUCUG